ensembl:lncRNA
CAUGGUUGGAACCCAUCUUAGACUAUGAGCCAGAUGUGUGUUUGUGUGUGUGUGGCUUCUAUCCCCCUUUAAAUAAAAAUGUUGGGGCUGGUGAGAUGGCUCACCAGUUAAGAGCACUGGUUGCUUUUCCUUAAGUCCUGAGUUCAAUUCCCAGCAACCAAAUGCUCGUGACCAUGUAUAAGGGAAUCUGAUGCCCUCUUCUGGCACGCAGGUGUACAUGCAGCAGAGCACUCAGUAAUCUUUUUUUUUUUUUUAAACGGAGAGCAGAAGCUGAGGUGCAAAUUCAGAUUUUUCUGCUAGGUGUAGGCAAUAUGAGUCCUCCUGAGUAGACUGGAUCCAAUCAUGAGUACAGAAUCCGCAAAGCCAUAAGCCUAAAGGAGACCAAAGACCUGACCUACCCUGUAGGAGCUCCAGGGUCUUUACCCAACCUUGGCCGACUAGGCUGCCUGUUUCUUUCUUUCUUCUUUUUUUUUUCUUUCCUUUGGAUUGGUAAUUUAUCAAAUUUUCGUCAUAUACAUGAUCCUCUACUUAGGACAGUAAGAAACAUGAUUCCUCUUUGUUCCCUUCGCAUUUGUCAGCGCGAUCAAGUCAGGCAUAUGAGAAGACGACUAUGUCCGUCAGGACCCCCGGGCCCGGCGUGGGUAUAAAUGGCCGAGGCGGGCGGCACACGGGUCUCUUUGUGCACCCGCCCACACGGUUUGCGGUCUUUUUACCCUUCGUUGCUCUCCACCGGUCUGGGCAGGGUCUGAGGACUCCGGAGAGCAAGGCAUGGUUCCGCCUCGUGCCGCUGGUUCCUGGCCCACGCCAGCCGUACCCAGUAGCACAAUGGGAUUUGAGGACACACGCCAGCUGCCUACACCUGAAGAAAGGUUAGUAUUAGGAUCCAAACGCCUUACUUAAGUUCCUUUAAGGUGGUUUUCUUAGGUUUCAUUGGUCUGGCAUGCUUGUCUCUUGGCUUGACUUUUUGGAAGGGGUGGAUUCGAGACAGGGUUUCUCCAUGUAGCCCUGAUCUCAGAUCCGCCUGCCUCUACUCUGGAAUUAAAUGCAUGCAGCACCACCGACUGGCCCUUGUUUUGUUCUUAAUAUCCUGCCUGCAUUAGCCAGUCUCCAAGCAAGCCACCACCCAGCUAUCUUUUUGUUUUUAGAUCUUAACUAAUCUCCCUAACUCUAAAUCUAUGGUGGGUCCAGGAGCUGCCUUGAUUAUUUCUUGUGCCUUUAAGUUCUGUAUGCUAGUUCACGCCAGUGGGUCUCAGCCUUCCUGAGGGCCUUUAAUGCAGUUCCUUGGGCUGUGAUGUUCCUAACCAUCGAUUUUAUUUUCCUUGCAUCUUCAUAACUAAAGUUUGCUAUUGUGAUAACACAGGCUGUCCUGUCUGGGACCCCUAUGUAAGGGUUCCUUGGUGACACAGGUUGAGAGCCACUGUUUUAGACUAUGCUUUUGGGUAUUUAGACGGGCUCUCAAUUCAGGAUGGCCUUAGUCCUGGCUCCAACCACUUUUUUUUUUUAAGAUUUAAAUGUUUGUGAGUAUACUAUUGCUGUCUUCAGACACACCAGAAGAGGGCGUCAGAUCCCAUUAAACAUGGUUAUGAGCCAUCUCUCCAGCCCAUGCCACCUUUUUUUGUUAAAGGUUUUAGCAGUUAAAUUUCAGUCCCCAGGAGUUUUGGCUUUAUAUAGCUCUGCAACAGUCCAAAGCCUAACUACACACACUGGCUACCGCAUCCUGUGUCUAUCAGAUUGACAUUCCCUGGGUGGUACCCUAGGUUCUGGUCUCCCUCAAUUGAGAGUGAUGAUUUCACAGACUAGAGUCUCUGACGCUGUCCUUGAUGUCAGCUAUAAAUCUGACUCAUUUGGGGAACCUCUUGAGAUUGAGCCCUGUGUGCCAACACUGGCUCUGGUGGGGAACAUACCCUGCUCUCCUGUUUCUCAUUGUGCCCAUCUUAACUCUCCAGGGUGAGCUCUGAGGACUUCACAGGGGCCCCAUCCCCUCACCUAGAUGAGGGCUAACCUUGGAAUCCAGACAAAGGUGGAAGUGACCUAGAUGUGACCUGAAUGAGCUAAUCAUCUAAUGAGAGCCAUCCCUUUGUCCUGCCCGCAUGAAGGUGGGUGGUUAGCUCACUUUUCAGGGUAAUAAAGCAGUAAAGGCGGGGUGGGGGGGUUGUUGA